rnacentral:rRNA from 1 species
GAUGAACGCUGGCGGCGUGCCUAAUACAUGCAAGUCGAGCGAACAGAUAAGGAGCUUGCUCCUUUGACGUUAGCGGCGGACGGGUGAGUUACACGUGGAUAACCUACCUAUAAGACUGGGAUAACUUCGGGAAACCGGAGCUAAUACCGGAUAACAUAUUGAACCGCAUGGUUCAAUAGUGCAAGGCGGCUUUGCUGUCACUUAUAGAUGGAUCCGCGCCGUAUUAGCUAGUUGGUAAGGUAACGGCUUACCAAGGCAACGAUCCGUAGCCGACCUGAGAGGUUGAUCGGCCACACUGGAACUGAGACACGGUCCAGACUCCUACGGGAGGCAGCAGUAGGGAAUCUUCCGCAAUGGGCGAAAGCCUGACGGAGCAACGCCGCGUGAGUGAUGAAGGUCUUCGGAUCGUAAAACUCUGUUAUCAGGGAAGAACAAAUGUGUAAGUAACUGUGCACAUCUUGACGGUACCUGAUCAGAAAGCCACGGCUAACUACGUG